AUGUUCAUUCCUACAACAUAGAUUUAAUGCAUUAGAUCCCAUUAGAACUCCGCAGUUAAGCCUGACCAGGCUAGAGUAGUACUCGAAUGGGUGACCGCCCGAGAAGUCCUAAUGUUUUACAUC
rnacentral:rRNA from 1 species